rnacentral:tRNA from 1 species
CCUGGUGGCUCAGUGGUUAAAGCAUCUGCCUGGAAUGUGGGAGACCUGGGUUCGAUCCCUGUGUCAGGA